GACGAACGCUGGCGGCGUGCUUAACACAUGCAAGUCGAACGAUGAAGCCUAGCUUGCUAGGUGGAUUAGUGGCGAACGGGUGAGUAAUACGUGAGUAACCUACCUUUAACUCUGGGAUAAGCCUGGGAAACUGGGUCUAAUACCGGAUACGACCAAUCUCCGCAUGGGGUGUUGGUGGAAAGCGUUAUGUAGUGGUUAUAGAUGGGCUCACGGCCUAUCAGCUUGUUGGUGAGGUAACGGCUCACCAAGGCGACGACGGGUAGCCGGCCUGAGAGGGUGACCGGCCACACUGGGACUGAGACACGGCCCAGACUCCUACGGGAGGCAGCAGUGGGGAAUAUUGCACAAUGGGCGCAAGCCUGAUGCAGCGACGCCGCGUGAGGGAUGACGGCCUUCGGGUUGUAAACCUCUGUUAGCAGGGAAGAAGAGAGAUUGACGGUACCUGCAGAGAAAGCGCCGGCUAACUACGUGCCAGCAGCCGCGGUAAUACGUAGGGCGCGAGCGUUGUCCGGAAUUAUUGGGCGUAAAGAGCUUGUAGGCGGUUUGUCGCGUCUGCUGUGAAAGGCCGGGGCUUAACUCCGUGUAUUGCAGUGGGUACGGGCAGACUAGAGUGCAGUAGGGGAGACUGGAAUUCCUGGUGUAGCGGUGGAAUGCGCAGAUAUCAGGAGGAACACCGAUGGCGAAGGCAGGUCUCUGGGCUGUAACUGACGCUGAGAAGCGAAAGCAUGGGGAGCGAACAGGAUUAGAUACCCUGGUAGUCCAUGCCGUAAACGUUGGGCACUAGGUGUGGGGAACAUUCCACGUUUUCCGCGCCGUAGCUAACGCAUUAAGUGCCCCGCCUGGGGAGUACGGCCGCAAGGCUAAAACUCAAAGAAAUUGACGGGGGCCCGCACAAGCGGCGGAGCAUGCGGAUUAAUUCGAUGCAACGCGAAGAACCUUACCAAGGCUUGACAUAUACUGGACCGCAUCAGAGAUGGUGUUUCCCUUCGGGCUGGUAUACAGGUGGUGCAUGGUUGUCGUCAGCUCGUGUCGUGAGAUGUUGGGUUAAGUCCCGCAACGAGCGCAACCCUCGUUCUAUGUUGCCAGCACGUUAUGGUGGGGACUCAUAGGAGACUGCCGGGGUCAACUCGGAGGAAGGUGGGGAUGACGUCAAAUCAUCAUGCCCCUUAUGUCUUGGGCUUCACGCAUGCUACAAUGGCCGGUACAGAGGGUUGCGAUACUGUGAGGUGGAGCUAAUCCCUAAAAGCCGGUCUCAGUUCGGAUUGGGGUCUGCAACUCGACCCCAUGAAGUCGGAGUCGCUAGUAAUCGCAGAUCAGCAACGCUGCGGUGAAUACGUUCCCGGGCCU
rnacentral:rRNA from 1 species